CUCCAGAGCCUGGAAUGGAACCCAAGACAGCUCAGUCUCACCAGUCUUCUGGUACUGACAAAUAUCUGUGAAACCCACUAUAAAGGUCUCCUGCUUCAUUUAGUGACUAGGAUGGAUCUGCUCUGGGCAUGAAUCAGGACUUCAUGGUAAAGGAGGCUGCUUUUCGUAGGACCUCUGCCCCAUUUGUUGCAGAAGUUGGAAGGUGUGUAGUGAAUGAGGGGAAUUAAUUACUGGCAGUGGCAAACCCUCAACCAACUUCAGAAGACCAGAAUAAUCUUUCCAAAGUCAACAACUUUUAAUUAUUUAAGCUCAAGACUUUGUAAGAGUUAUUUAAAUUUAAGAAGACUGUUCU